UUGCCAAAAAAAUAAUUUUUUCCAUUGCCAAUCCAUCACAAAAAAAAUAAUUUUUUCUGCUCCUCUCUCUCUCUCUCUCUCUCUGGCGAUUCAAGAACACGAUUUCACAAGAUCUAUGAAGUUUGAACAGAUCGAUGAAGAUUCGGACCUCCCAGAUUCGAUUUCCGGCUUUUAUUGGCGUUUUGCAACAUUCGUCAAAGGUCAUGGUUUAAAGACUAGGUAACGGUUUGAGAAGAGUUCAAGAUCGAGCUAUUGUUUUGUAGUAUGAAGGGGAGAAAGUGAGGAGAAAGUUGUGGUUGUCAAAGGCGAAGUAGAAGAAUAUAAAGAGAAUGUGAGGGCGGUUGUCAAAGGAGGUGGUAUAGUGUUUUGUAGAAAUUAGGCUGCUGGUUUUGGUUUUCAGUUAGAAGCGGUUGAUUAGUAUAGACAUGUUGAGAAGAUACUAUCUGGAGAUGGAUCUGGAAGGUUGCAGGAUCGAGUGAAGGAAACGCUAAAGGAGUUUAUGUGGGCUACACAGAUGAUACUUUUGUGCCCGGCCAAGAAUUUCAGGUGCUCCUACUAACAACAAAGUCACUGCGGUCCUUGAAAAGGCAAGCUCAACCCGCCAGGUUUCUCACCUCUCCUUUGCACUAGAGUAAUGGGUCAAAAGAGGCUUAGGUUUAAAUGGGUCAUCUUUUUUUAGUAUGGGAUGGAUUUUUUGUUCAUCUUUUAUUGUAAAGAUUAUUACGUAGAUUACAAUUACAAAUGACAUUGAAUUUUACCUUCUCUAAGUUCGCGUUUGAAAAGAGUUUCAGUAUUGUUAUACGAAACUUCAGUAUUUUUAAGGCACCUGAUUGCAGUUAGGACAGAGUCGUGGCAGAGAAGAUAGGUUUUAUAAUCCGGAAAAAGCGAGAAGAAACCAUCAAAAUCAGGAUCAACUCCGAUGAGCACAAAGUGAUGCCACUCCAAACCAAAAUCUAUGACGUUGCCAGGCCCUGGGGAGGCUGAGAACCGAGUUGUGAAGUCAUUUAAAGAGGCAUUAGCAAAACACAAAUUGGAUCGACGCACUUUAGGUCUUUCAAAAUGUCUGAAGGAGAAAGAAUUGGUGGCACUUGCGGCCAACCAGGACCUUUCUUUUGUGUAUAAUUUAAAACCCAAGCACCACCAAAGAAGACUAUGAAUUGUAUAGGUCAUGGACAUGCUCGGACCAAGUCUUGGGAUGUUUGGAGUUCAUUAGGCCAAUCGCAAGAAGAAGAAAAUUUUGAUGCCAUUGUUGUGCAUAAUAUUUUCUUUUGGUUAAUUAUUUUCUUUUGUAGGAUGACACCAAACUAGGGCUGACAUAACGGGUCAACCCGAUCUGUUAAGACACAAUAAGACACGAACCCGAAACACGUAAACACGAACACGACACGAAGUCUUAUCGUGUCAGAUUUUCGAAACACGAACACCAACCUGUUAAUAAACAGGUUACACGAAACGACCUGUUAAGACACGAAAAAUUACCAACGUGUCAUACGACCUGUUUAAGACACGAACACGACCUGUUACGACACGGUUUAAGACACGAACAUGACCUGUUAAGACACGAACACAACCAAAUUAGGGAAGCUGUGAACCGAAUUGUGAAUGGUGUGUUUGUGAGAGUGAUUUGAAAAUUAGGGUUUGGAUUGUAGAAAAAGAACCGCGUGUGUUUGUGUAUAAUUCAUCCAAGGUCCCAUGACUAAUGACCCCAUGUCUACACCCACAUAUAAUAGUUUAUUAAUUUUUAAUUAUUAACAUGUACUUAACGGGUUUUAACAGGUUAACAACUUUUAACCUGUUUAGAUGCGAAACCUGUUAAGGUCUUAUCGUGUCGACCUGUUUUAGACACGAAACCUGUUAAGGUCAAACACGAAACAUGAUAACUUCGUGUAGGUUCGUGUCGUGUUAUCGUGUUCGUGUCAGAAUUGCCAGCCCUACACCAAACUCGAUAGGUUGUGCAUCAAAAGCUUCGUUGUGGUUUUAGUUUUUGGAUAUAAAGUAUCGGGCUUAGAUUUGCCACUGGUGGUGGUGAUCACCAUCACAUCCAAACCCUCCCACCCACAGUGUGAGAGAGGGAGAAAGAGCGAGAUGCUAGAGAGAGGCAGAGAAUCGAUGGGUUCUGGUCACCUGAGGUUGCGGUCCACGCCGUUUACGAGUUCAACAGAUCCAUUAGUUCUGAGGUUUUGCGUUUCAAAAAGAGAGACGCAAUAUUAUAUCCGCUGGCGAUACAUCCAAGUUCAUUUCAUCUAAAGAAGCCGACAUAGCGAUUCUUGAAGAACCCGAACAUUUAAAUUGGUAUCAUCAUGGUAACCGUUGGAAUAAUAAGUUCAAUCAUGCCGUCGGUAUUGUUCAGAUGAAUUACUUAGAGUAUAUAAAGUGGGGAAAAAUGGCGCCCUCCAAGAGUUUUUCGUAAAGCAUAUAAACAAUUUGGUCACACAAGCAUAUUGUGACAAGGCACUAAGUUAAUUCUUAAACAAUUUACUUAUAAAUUUAUAAUGAAAAUAUUUGUUGUUGUAUUUAUAAUGAGAGUAUUUGAUUU
rnacentral:lncRNA from 1 species